rnacentral:rRNA from 1 species
UACGAAGGGGGCUAGCGUUGUUCGGAAUUACUGGGCGUAAAGGGCGCGUAGGCGGCUCUGAUCGUCGGAUGUGAAAGGCCUGGGCUCAACCUGGGAAUGGCAUCCGAUACGGCGGGGCUGGAGUGUGGGAGAGGUUGGUGGAAUUCCCAGUGUAGAGGUGAAAUUCGUAGAUAUUGGGAAGAACACCAGUGGCGAAGGCGACUUCCUGGCCUGUUCUUGACGCUGAGGCGCGAAAGCUAGGGGAGCAAACGGG